GAUGAACGCUGGCGGCGUGCCUAAUACAUGCAAGUCGAGCGAACAGACGAGGAGCUUGCUCCUCUGACGUUAGCGGCGGACGGGUGAGUAACACGUGGAUAACCUACCUAUAAGACUGGGAUAACUUCGGGAAACCGGAGCUAAUACCGGAUAAUAUAUUGAACCGCAUGGUUCAAUAGUGAAAGACGGUUUUGCUGUCACUUAUAGAUGGAUCCGCGCCGCAUUAGCUAGUUGGUAAGGUACCGGCUUACCAAGGCAACGAUGCGUAGCCGACCUGAGAGGGUGACUGGCCACACUGGAACUGAGACACGGUCCAGACUCCUACGGGAGGCAGCAGUAGGGAACCUUCCGCAAUGGGCGAAAGCUUGACGGAGCAACGCCGCGUGAGUGAUGAAGGUCUUCGGAUCGUAAAACUCUGUUAUUAGGGAAGAACAAAUGUGUAAGUAACUAUGCACGUCUUGACGGUACCUAAUCAGAAAGCCACGGCUAACUACGUG
rnacentral:rRNA from 1 species